rnacentral:rRNA from 1 species
UACGGGGGGGGCAAGCGUUGUUCGGAAUUACUGGGCGUAAAGGGCUCGUAGGUGGCCAACUAAGUCAGACGUGAAAUCCCUCAGCUUAACCGGGGAACUGCGUCUGAUACUGGAUGGCUUGAGUUUGGGAGAGGGAUGCGGAAUUCCAGGUGUAGCGGUGAAAUGCGUAGAUAUCUGGAGGAACACCGGUGGCGAAGGCGGCAUCCUGGACCAACACUGACGCUGAUGAGCGAAAGCCAGGGGAGCAAACGGG